CCUACGGGAGGCUGCAGUGGGGAAUAUUGGACAAUGGGGGCAACCCUGAUCCAGCCAUGCCGCGUGUGUGAAGAAGGCCCUCGGGUUGUAAAGCACUUUCAGUGAGGAAGAACGCCUGGUGGUUAAUACCCAUCAGGAAAGACAUCACUCACAGAAGAAGCACCGGCUAACUCCGUGCCAGCAGCCGCGGUAAUACGGAGGGUGCGAGCGUUAAUCGGAAUUACUGGGCGUAAAGCGCGCGUAGGUGGCUUGAUAAGCCGGUUGUGAAAGCCCCGGGCUCAACCUGGGAACGGCAUCCGGAACUGUCAAGCUAGAGUGCAGGAGAGGAAGGUAGAAUUCCCAGUGUAGCGGUGAAAUGCGUAGAGAUCGGGAGGAAUACCAGUGGCGAAGGCGGCCUUCUGGACUGACACUGACACUGAGGUGCGAAAGCGUGGGUAGCAAACAGGAUUAGAUACCCCGGUAGUC
rnacentral:rRNA from 1 species